rnacentral:tRNA from 1 species
UAGUUAUGUCAAGCACAAACACCGGUUUCCUAAACCGGUGGUCGUGGGUUCGAAUCCCGC